rnacentral:rRNA from 1 species
GACGAACGCUGGCGGCGUGCUUAACACAUGCAAGUCGAACGGAAAGGCCCUGCUUUUGUGGGGUGCUCGAGUGGCGAACGGGUGAGUAACACGUGAGUAACCUGCCCUUGACUUUGGGAUAACUUCAGGAAACUGGGGCUAAUACCGGAUAGGAGCUCCUGCUGCAUGGUGGGGGUUGGAAGGUUUCGGCGGUUGGGGAUGGACUCGCGGCUUAUCAGCUUGUUGGUGGGGUAGUGGCUUACCAAGGCUUUGACGGGUAGCCGGCCUGAGAGGGUGACCGGCCACAUUGGGACUGAGAUACGGCCCAGACUCCUACGGGAGGCAGCAGUGGGGAAUAUUGCACAAUGGGCGGAAGCCUGAUGCAGCACCGCCGCGUGCGGGAUGACGGCCUUCGGGUUGUAAACCGCUUUCGCCUGUGACGAAGCGUGAGUGACGGUAAUGGGUAAAGAAGCACCGGCUAACUACGUG